rnacentral:rRNA from 1 species
CAAAGGCUUGGUCCUGACUUUACUAUCAGCUCUAACUGAACUUACACAUGCAAGUCUCCGCAUUCCUGUGAGGAUGCCCUUAAUCCCCUGCCCGGGGACGAGGAGCCGGUAUCAGGCACGCCCAAGCAGCCCACGACGCCUUGCUAAGCCACACCCCCAAGGAAACUCAGCAGUGAUAAAUAUUAAGCCAUAAGCGAAAGCUUGACUUAGUUAAGGUUAAGAGGGCCGGUAAAACUCGUGCCAGCCACCGCGGUUAUACGAGAGGCCCUAGUUGAUAACUACCGGCGUAAAGAGUGGUUAUGGAAGAUACUUGAUAAAGCCGAACACUCCCUCAGCCGUCAUACGCACCUGGAAGCACGAAGACCUACUGCGAAAGCAGCUUUAAUUAUGCCUGACCCCACGACAGCUAAGAAACA